GGAGAAAUGGCAGAGUGGUCGAUUGCGGCAGUCUUGAAAACUGUUGAACCGCAAGGUUCCGGGGGUUCGAAUCCCUCUUUCUCCG
rnacentral:tRNA from 1 species